rnacentral:rRNA from 1 species
UGCAAGUCGAGCGGUAACAGGGGAGCUUGCUCCUGCUGACGAGCGGCGGACGGGUGAGUAACGCGUAGGAAUCUGCCUAGUAGAGGGGGACAACAUGUGGAAACGCAUGCUAAUACCGCAUACGCCCUGAGGGGGAAAGGAGGGGACUCUUCGGAGCCUUCCGCUAUUAGAUGAGCCUGCGUGAGAUUAGCUAGUUGGUAGGGUAAAGGCCUACCAAGGCGACGAUCUCUAACUGGUCUGAGAGGAUGACCAGUCACACUGGGACUGAGACACGGCCCAGACUCCUACGGGAGGCAGCAGUGGGGAAUAUUGGACAAUGGGCGGAAGCCUGAUCCAGCCAUGCCGCGUGUGUGAAGAAGGCCUUAGGGUUGUAAAGCACUUUCAGGGGUGAGGAAGGGUGACUGGCUAAUAUCCAGUUAUCUUGACGUUAGCCCCAGAAGAAGCACCGGCUAACUCUGUGCCAGCAGCCGCGGUAAUACAGAGGGUGCAAGCGUUAAUCGGAAUUACUGGGCGUAAAGCGCGCGUAGGUGGUUUGUUAAGUCGGAUGUGAAAUCCCAGGGCUCAACCUUGGAAUGGCACCCGAUACUGGCAGGCUA